CUAUGUUGUUCCUUGUGUGCUUGAUAGAGUGUACUCAGGUUUGACACAGAAGAUUUCUUCUGGGGGCUUCUUGAAGAAGACAUUAUUCAACUUUGCUUAUUCAUAUAAGCUUAAUAACAUGGAGAAAGGGCUUAGACAUGGAGAGGCAUCUCCACUUCUUGAUAUAAUUGUG